rnacentral:rRNA from 1 species
GACGAACGCUGGCGGCGUGCUUAACACAUGCAAGUCGAACGAAAAGAGGGAAAGAGCUUGCUCUUUCCGGAAUUGAGUGGCAAACGGGUGAGUAACACGUAAACAACCUGCCUUCAGGAUGGGGACAACAGACGGAAACGACUGCUAAUACCGAAUACGUUCCAAGAGCCGCAUGGCCCAUGGAAGAAAAGGUGGCCUCUACCUGUAAGCUAUCGCCUGAAGUGGGGUUUGCGUCGGAUUAGCUGGUUGGAGGGGUAAAGGCCCACCAAGGCGACGAUCAGUAGCCGGUCUGAGAGGAUGAACUGCCACACUGGGACUGAGACACGGUCCAGACUCCUACGGGAGGCAGCAGUGGGGAAUCUUCCGCAAUGGGCGAAAGCCUGACGGAGCAACGCCGCGUGAGUGAUGACGGUCUUCGGGUUGUAAAACUCUGUGAUCCGGGACGAAAAGGCAGAGGGCGAAGAACAAACUGCAGUGACGGUACCGGAAAAGCAAGCCACGGCUAACUACGUG